ACAGUCAAAAUGAAGUUCCAAUGACUGCAGUUCCUCAAAUGGCAAAUUCAAUUUCCAUUGGACCCCCAUGUGAAAUUGUCACAAUCUACACAGAAAUACAAAUGCAUACAUUCUGCUACUAAAAGUUUUAUUUUACUUUUUAUACUCCAUUUACAUUAUAUUGAGGCUUAAAGUUAUGUUUAAUCGGACUGUAUCAGGAGUGGAUCCAUCAAAAAUAUCAUUCAGAGUUUGUAAAUGCAUGACACUAGAGCAGCGGUUCCCAAACGUUUUAGCCCACGCAUCCUUCUACCUCCCGACCUCUUCAUGCACCCCCAAACCUUCCCACAUUCAAAAAAAAAAGAAAAGAGAAACCGAGCCUAUUGAUAGCUGCAAUAAAAUAACAGUUUGCUCAUUUGUGGUAUUGUUAUCUAAUAUUUAGAUGGCCUUUAAAGCUCAGUGUCAACCCAAACUACAGGUGGGAAAAUGCCCUGGAACACUGCAACAACGUUUUAAUCAUUUCCAGUUACGUCACGUUUAAACAGCAAUAAGGUUGAUUGCAUCACAUUUAAUCAUACAUAGUGGUAACAUUCAUUAAAAUUGUAAAGCAACAAAUCAUGACUGAUUGUCUGACUGAGAUAUGGGAAUUUUGAAAUUUUCAUUUUAAACAGAACCACUUAAAGAACACUGGUGGAGGGGCGUGGUUAGCUCAGCUGCAUGGGGGAGAGCGGGGGAGUGGUUCAGGGGACGGUGCUGGUAGGUGAGGAGUAACCAGGUGUAAAUAAUCUGCACUGAUUGUCUCCUACAUAAGCAGUGAGCAGGAUCCAGGUCGGGGGAACGUGAGCCGAGCAGAGCGGAAUGGAGCCCGAGAGCAGAGCACGAGAGCUGAGCGGAGCCGGACAAAGCGAAACCGAGCACGCACAUCGAGCGACCUCAUUCCUGCUCACUGCCUUCCCCUUUUGGAGAAUAAAGACUGGUUACCCUCAUCGUGUGUCCGUGCGUCUUUACAGAACCCGCCGGUGGUAGCGCUAUCGCGGCUACAAACACAUAUUGGCACAUGUAUAGUCUCAAACUGAUAUGAAUAAGAAAGGGAGGAGUCCAUUUGAGGAUUUCACACACAGCGCAGGGGGGCUCAGGCUGCAGAGAGAGAGGGAGGGGGGAGAAGGAGGAGUAACGUUAGAGAGCGAGUCGAGACGUUUCUACGAUUACUCCCCCUCUGUCCAUCUCCUCUCUCAUAACUCAACAGAUGUCUCUCUGACAGUUUCCCGACUUCAGCCAGUUAAGCAUAUUUGUAAUAAAGUUAGCUGAUGUUAGCUAGUGUGUCCGUAAAAAGAGCUCAAAUGCAAUUAUUUAUGAAAUAUGUAUGGUUUGUUAAUGUAGGGUUUUUUAUAAUUCAUGUUGCUAUUUUGUGUAAAAACCCACUUAUUAAAAAAAGAAAUAAUAAUAAUUUAGGAUUAAUUAUUACAGAGAUCACCAUUACAUUUUUCCGCUCAUGCACCCUGAGGGCUGCCCGCACCACACUUUGGGAAUCCCUGCACUUGAGGUUCGUUUAAUGCAGUUGUGACAAUAUGGCAAAUAGUAGGCUACAGUGUUAAAGUAAAAGUUAGCGUUAGCUUUUAGCAAUUGAGCCGAGUAAAUCCCGAUAACCGGACCCAGACAUGAUGGCGUAUACGCCGUGGCUGAGGUCCUUGAGGACAAGACCGACCCCUGCAAAAUGCCCGCCACUGGGUGUUCUAUUGGUGGGUGUGGGCUCCAAAAAAUCCCCAUGCAUCUCGCCCUUUUUGAAAACCUGUCUGCCCUUUUCCGCUCUCUGUAUCAGGAAUCAGGAACAUUUAUUACCAAAAUAUGUUAGACAUACAAGGAAUUUGACUUGGCGCAUGACAUCAGAUCAGACAAUCGACAACACGACAGAUAAGACAACAUAGUGUAAGAACAACAUUUAAUUUAUGCUUGCUCCGAAAUAGUGGAACGAGCUCUCUGAAGACACCAGGACCGCAGAGAGCCUUCACAUCUUCCGCCGCAAACUAAAGACACACCUCUUCAAACUCUACCUCGACUAAAAGACUAACAAAUUGCAGCACUUAAAUUGUACUUAACGCCACUCAUCUAUAGCAAAUUGGCUUAUUUGAGGAAAUUGCACUUUCUUGUUUCUUGUUCCUCUGAGUUUGUACCCUAUGGUUGAAUGCACUUAUUGUAAGUCUCUUUGGAUAAAAGCGUAAGCUAAAAGAUAAAAAUAGAGUGCACCAGCAAACAGAAAGUGACAAGUGAAUGUGGAAAGAGAGUGACCAGUGAGAUGUCAGUCACUCAGUGGGGGACCCGGGCUCUGUUGAUGAGCCCGAAUGCCGACAGGAAGAAACCGUUUCUGUGGUGGGAGGUCUUGGUCCUCUGCCGUUGGUGUCUGUCUUGCAGGUUACUGGGUGGCUGGAGGUUGAGGCCAUUAACCAGAUUGGAGGCAGCUGGCCAGUGCAGCCAGCCUUUAGGAGAAGCCCAACCGGGUGCAUUGGCAGCCAUACUUCCUGAAGGCACCUGGCUCCCCUCCUCUUCUUGCUCUACACCAACUCUCUCGGCGCUGUCAUUCUCUCGCAUGGCUUCUCCUACCACAGCUAUGCCGAUAAUCCCAACUAAUUCUCUCCUUCUCUCACUCGGACAUUCAGGUGGCGGCACGGAUCUCUGCCUGUCUGACAUCUCUCAGUGGAUGUCCGCUCACCAUCUCAAAAUCAACCCCGACAAGACUGAAUUACUUCUCUUUCCUGGAAAAGCUUCUUCGACCCAGGAUUUGACGGUUAAUGGCAACUCCCAGUUUGACUGCUAGGAACCUCGGCAUCACACUUGACAGCCAACUCUCCCUGACUCCCAACAUCACUGCAACAACACGAUCCUGUAGAUACACGCUCUACAACAUCAGGAGAAUACGUCCUCUUCUCACUCAGAAGGCAGCGCAGGUACUGAUUCAGGCUCUUGUCAUCUCCCGCCUGGACUACUGCAACUCCCUCCUGGCUGGUCUCCCUGCCACCGCCAUUCGACCUCUGCAGCUCAUUCAGAAUGCAGCAGCUCGACUGGUCUUUAACCUUCCGGUAUUCUCCCACUCUACUCUGCUCUCAUCACUGGCUACCGGUGGCUGCCCGCAUCCAUUUGAAAACAUUGGUGCUAACAUACCAUGCUGUGAAUGGAUCGGGUCCAGCUUCAUAAAUUGGCUUAUUUGACGAAAUUGCACUUGUUUUUUGAGUUUGUAUCCCUAUGGUUGAAUGCACUUAUUGUAAGUCGCUUUGGAUAAAAGCGCCAGCUAAAUGACAGGUAAUGUUUGUUCCUUCUUUAGAAAAAGCAUAGUUUAUAGUUUAGAAAUCAACCUUUUUGUGUUAAAAACCCUUAAUUGCCGUAAUCAUUCAUCAUUUGUUGCAGUCGAGGAGCCAGACUGUAACAGAGAAGAUUUAAUUUAAAUUAAAAAUAAAAGAAAAAAUAGAGUGCACCAGCGACCAGAAAGUGACAAGUGUAUGUGGAGUGUGAAAAGAGUGACCGGUGAGAUGUCAGUGGGGGAUGAGCCCGACUGCUGACGGAAAGAUACUGUUGGUGUGGCCGGAGGUCUUAGUCCUGAUGAACCUCAGCCUCCUGCCGGAUGGAAGGAGCAGGAACAGAUUUUGCCCGGAGUGAGAGCGGUCGGCUACAAUCUUUCUAGCUCACUUCAGGGUCCUGGAAGCGAACAAGUCCUGGAGAGACAUCAGAUUGCGGCAGAGCAGAUGACACGCUGCAGCCUGCCCUUGUCCUUUGCUGUGGCUGCAGCGUACCAGACUGUGAUGGAGGAGCAGAGGAUGGACUCGAUGAUGGCCGUGUAGAAGUGCACCAUCAUCGUCUUUGGCAGAUUGAAUUUCGGGGGGAAGAACAACCUCUGCUGAGCCUUCUUGGUGAUGGAGCUGAUGUUCAGUUCCCACUUGAGGUCCUGGGUGAUGAUGGAGCCCAGGAAACGGAAGGAAUCCACAAUAGUGACGGGGGAGUCGCACAGGGUGAUGGGGGAGGGUGGGGCUCUGUUCCGCCGGAAAUCCACAACCAUCUCCACUGUCUUUAGAGCGUUGAGCUCCAGGUUAUUCUGGCUGCACCACGACACCAGAUGGUCGGACUCCCACCUGUAGGCGGACUCGUCCCCACCAGAGAUUAGUCCAAUGAGGGUGGUGUCAUCUGCAAACUUCAGGAGCUUGACGGACUGGUGGCUGGAGGUGCAGCUG
ensembl:lncRNA